CGGGACGGGUGAGUAAUGUCUGGGAAACCGCCUGAUGGAGGGGGAUAACUACUGGAAACGGUAGCUAAUACCGCAUAACAUCGCAAGACCAAAGAGGGGGACCUUAGGGCCUCUUGCCAUCGGAUGUGCCCAGAUGGGAUUAGCUAGUAGGUGGGGUAAAGGCUCACCUAGGCGACGAUCCCUAGCUGGUCUGAGAGGAUGACCAGCCACACUGGAACUGAGACACGGUCCAG
rnacentral:rRNA from 1 species